AGUAGAUUGGGAAACUCGUCAAUUAUUUCCAAACUACCGAGACAAGCUUGACCGACCAAUGGCGGGCCUCAGCCGUCGACUCACGUCGUCGGACGCCUUAGAGCCGGAGGAUUACAAAGGGCGGCAGGCACUCAAAUCCUGUCUUUAGGGAGUUUCAUCGCAUCCUUUGAUGUGGCCUUAU
rnacentral:sRNA from 1 species